rnacentral:rRNA from 1 species
CAGUCGUACGCUUCUUUUUCCCCGGAGCUUGCUCCACCGGAAAAAGAAGAGUGGCGAACGGGUGAGUAACACGUGGGUAACCUGCCCAUCAGAAGGGGAUAACACUUGGAAACAGGUGCUAAUACCGUAUAACAAUCGAAACCGCAUGGUUUUGAUUUGAAAGGCGCUUUCGGGUGUCGCUGAUGGAUGGACCCGCGGUGCAUUAGCUAGUUGGUGAGGUAACGGCUCACCAAGGCCACGAUGCAUAGCCGACCUGAGAGGGUGAUCGGCCACAUUGGGACUGAGACACGGCCCAAACUCCUACGGGAGGCAGCAGUAGGGAAUCUUCGGCAAUGGACGAAAGUCUGACCGAGCAACGCCGCGUGAGUGAAGAAGGUUUUCGGAUCGUAAAACUCUGUUGUUAGAGAAGAACAAGGAUGAGAGUAACUGUUCAUCCCUUGACGGUAUCUAACCAGAAAGCCACGGCUAACUACGUGCCAGCAGCCGCGGUAAUACGUAGGUGGCAAGCGUUGUCCGGAUUUAUUGGGCGUAAAGCGAGCGCAGGCGGUUUCUUAAGUCUGAUGUGAAAGCCCCCGGCUCAACCGGGGAGGGUCAUUGGAAACUGGGAGACUUGAGUGCAGAAGAGGAGAGUGGAAUUCCAUGUGUAGCGGUGAAAUGCGUAGAUAUAUGGAGGAACACCAGUGGCGAAGGCGGCUCUCUGGUCUGUAACUGACGCUGAGGCUCGAAAGCGUGGGGAGCAAACAGGAUUAGAUACCCUGGUAGUCCACGCCGUAAACGAUGAGUGCUAAGUGUUGGAGGGUUUCCGCCCUUCAGUGCUGCAGCUAACGCAUUAAGCACUCCGCCUGGGGAGUACGACCGCAAGGUUGAAACUCAAAGGAAUUGACGGGGGCCCGCACAAGCGGUGGAGCAUGUGGUUUAAUUCGAAGCAACGCGAAGAACCUUACCAGGUCUUGACAUCCUUUGACCACUCUAGAGAUAGAGCUUCCCCUUCGGGGGCAAAGUGACAGGUGGUGCAUGGUUGUCGUCAGCUCGUGUCGUGAGAUGUUGGGUUAAGUCCCGCAACGAGCGCAACCCUUAUUGUUAGUUGCCAUCAUUUAGUUGGGCACUCUAGCAAGACUGCCGGUGACAAACCGGAGGAAGGUGGGGAUGACGUCAAAUCAUCAUGCCCCUUAUGACCUGGGCUACACACGUGCUACAAUGGGAAGUACAACGAGUCGCGAAGUCGCGAGGCUAAGCUAAUCUCUUAAAGCUUCUCUCAGUUCGGAUUGUAGGCUGCAACUCGCCUACAUGAAGCCGGAAUCGCUAGUAAUCGCGGAUCAGCACGCCGCGGUGAAUACGUUCCCGGGCCUUGUACACACCGCCCGUCACACCACGAGAGUUUGUAACACCCGAAGUCGGUGAGGUAACCUUUGAGCCAGCCGC